UAUAAAACAGACUAAGCGCAUAGGCGACAUAUAUUAAAUUACAGACUAUUUUGCCUGACCGUAUUUGCUACCUCACAGCUCACACGAAAUCGUUCAUAUAAAAACAUGAUCAGUGAUCACAGGCAAUGUCUCAUUACCGGAAUAUUGGUCAGGUUUCGAUCGAAGCGAUCACGGGAAUUAUGCCCUUUUUUGCUGGUAUUAUGCCCUUAUAAUAUGCCCUUUAUUAUGCUUCACGAAUCACGAGGGCGGCGCAAAUUAGAUAGUUGAAGUUAUGAGAACUGAUGUAAAGUUGUGUACGCAAUUUAGUUUGCACAAGAAGCAUGAGUAAGUAAGUAAUGAAAUAAUGCUGAAACAUGCCCUUUGGGCAGCCAGGCAAAGAAACCUUAAAAUGCAUAUGCGUGGGGUGCGUGUGUUAUUGUAUAAAAGAGCUUUAAGUUGUAAAUGUGCUCAGAACAGUAGAUCAGUAGAGAACAGAAUUGGGAUUAAAUUAAUCGCUGGAAGUAGUUAGCAUUGCAUAAUUUAAGUACUACUACUAAAUCCUAACCAAAUUGCAAAUUUCGACACGUUAUAAUGCCGUUUCCUGACCAUCAGAUUUCUGUCAAAUCUUCCCCCCAAAGUCCAGGAAAUGGCAUUUCAGAGACUCUAAAUUCAAAAAUUUUCCUGGGGGGCAUGCCCCCGGACCCCCCUAGACAAACCUCGCACCUGCGGCACUCGGCUCGUGCCUUCGGCCCUCGUUUAUCAAGUGUAACAUUACAGGGGCGCAUAUUGGUUGACAGCCCACUGGCCCCUCCAGAAAAAUAGUACCCAGCACGCCACUGA